ACUAACCAGAGCUAGGCUGAUAAGCCAAUCUAAGCUAAAUCAAAGAACCGUCUUUGGCUAAAUUCGCUAAGCUAGCGUUAAGUUAUAUAAGUUUGUGGCGCCCACAAUUAACCUAGGCAACUGGGGUCAAUAUCAAGUGCAUUUUGAAUAGCGUGAAGAAGUAAGUUUAUGUUAAUAUUACAUAAAUAAGGCUAUUUAAAAUAGUUUGUUGUGGGAAAACAUUUAUUAAAAUAGCUUAAUAUGAUGUGUGAGAAUUAAAACGGCAUGAUAAUUCUCGUCAGGUGUUAAAUGUGUAUUCCCGCCUUUAGCUUAGCGUUAGCUUAGCGUUAGCUAAGCCAUAGCAUGAAGAAGUAAGUUUAUGUGAAUAUUACAUAAAUAAGGCAAUUUAAAAUAGUUUUUUGUGGGACAAAAAUAAAUUAAAAUAGCUUAAUAUGAUGUGUGAGAAUUAAAACGGCACGAUAAUUCUCAUCAGGUGUUAAAUGUGUAUUCCCGCCGUUAGCUUAGCGUUAGCUAAGCCAUAGUGUGAAGAAGUAAGUUUAUGUUAAUAUUACAUAAAUAAGGCAAUUUAAAAUAGUUUGUUGUGGGACAAAAAAUAUUAAAAUAGCUUAAUAUGAUGUGUGAGAAUUAAAACGGCACGAUAAUUCUCGUCAGGUGUUAAAUGUGUAUUCCCGCCGUUAGCUUAGCGUUAGCUAGCUUAGCUGAGAUUUCUAAUUUGUCUUUUUCUACUUGUGCAGAUGGAGUCAUGAAAUGUGACGGGACAGCCACCGAGGACUUCAUACGGAUGUGUACUUCGGAGCAUCUCAAACAUGCACCACAAAGAUGUGGAGGACACACCGCUGUCUCUCAGGACCUAGAAUCUUAAUGAAAGUAUAAUGAUGUUAAGGGAAGGUGUAAUGGAAAGGUGUAAUGUAAAGCUGUAAUGGUGUUAAGGGAAGGUGUAGUGGAAAGGUGUGAUAUUGUUGAGGGAAGGUGUAAUAGUGUUGAGGGAAGGGGUAAUGUUAAAGGUGUAAUAGUGUUGAGGGAAGGGGUAAUGUUAAAGGUGUAAUAGUGUUGAGGGAAGGGGUAAUGUUAAAGGUGUAAUAGUGUUGAGGGAAGGUAUAAUGUGAAGGUGUAAUAGUGUUGAGGGAAGGUAUAAUAUUGUUAAGGGAAGGUGUAAUGUAAAGGUGUAAUAGUGUUGAGGGAAGGUAUAAUAUUGUUAAGGGAAGGUGUAAUGUAAAGGUGUAAUAGUGUUGAGGGAAGGUAUAAUAUUGUUAAGGGAAGGUGUAAUGUUAAAGGUGUAAUAGUGUUGAGGGAAGGUAUAAUAUUGUUAAGGGAAGGUGUAAUGUAAAGCUGUAAUAGUUUUAAGGGAAGGUAAAUGUUUAGUGAAAUUGUUAUGGUGUGAAUCUAAGGUGUAUGUUAUGUUGAUGUAAAAUAAAGGCAUUAACCCCAAA